AGACUGAUCAUAGAAGAACCUCCUCUUUAACGUGUCGUCCAUCUUUACCCUGUCAACGACGUCAUCUUUGGGCUGCAAGGACAAUUCCUGGAAGUUGAUAGCGUAGUUUCAUUAUGACAGGAACACAUUUGCAAAGAGGAAGCAAAAGUGUAAGCCAACAGUGGCAGAAAGGAGACGCUGACGCUAGUGUAGAAAGUGCACCUUCAUUUCCAGAGUUCUCUUGCGGACUUUCAGUUCCGUGACGGCCUGGUGCACCUCCAGCUCGGGGGCUCCUUGCUCCUUCAACCAGGUCACCAAGUCGCCCUCAAGAAAACACAAACUGCGCGGCUCAGUCUCAUGCAGUGCUCCAGCCCUCAUCCCACCCCACAUUCUGAUGAACAAAUGCAUCUCCGAGCCUCAUGAUGUGUGCAGAUUGGCCGCUGGUCUGAGCCUUGGAGGAGUACAACAGGAUGUCCAGGUCGGCCACAUUGGAGAACUUGGGGUGGACCUUCUCACUGGGGUCCACAAAGUGCUCGAUCUCAGCCAUGGUGAACUCUCUGUCGGAGGAAGGUACAAAAUUUAGUUAUUAACAUGAAUACAUUCAGUCCCCCUCCCAAUUCACUUGGAGGGGGAAAAAAAUCCCUCCAGACCCAACCAAGACAAAAUAUUAAUUUGAAUCUGCACCACAUUAUGCAUCUUAGAUUACCUUCUUUUUGAACAUUCCGACAUCCAAAUAAAGCACUUUUUCUAAAAC